AUGUCACGAGCUCAGCAUGUGAAUCAGCGUUCACUCUUGUGUGCGCUGAAUUGUGGUCUUACGGUUUUUGCAACACAUUGUCCAAACUACGUUUUUUGGAAUAAAACAGCAAAGAGGGUGAAACUCCCGUUUGUUUGGACACACGAUUUGCAACAACUACGGAGUCGAGUUGUUUGGGAUUGCAGCUCAAAUACGGUGGUAAAUUCCAUCUACAGCUAAAUACUGGUGGGAGACCGAUAGCGUACAAGUACCGUGAGGGAAAGAUGCAAAGAACUUUGAAAAGAGAGUGAAAGAGUACCUGAAAUUGCUGAAAAGGAAGCGAACGAACCUAGUGACUGCAGCUACGUCAUACUUUCCAACUUGCUUGCAAGUUGGACGCUGUGGCUAGCCCAGUUCGACUACAUUGCUGCYKSYCUGCUGUUGCGUGGAAACAGGUCACGAAAAGAUCUCCAUUUUUGUUGACACUGUGCACGCACUGCGAUGCAGUUGAACAAAAUAKAUUUGUUUGCCCCGUCUAGAAACACGGACCAAGGAGUCUAACAUAUGUGCGAGUACUGCGGUUGCAUACCUCGGUGCAAAAUGAAAGUGUUAGAGGCUGGAAUGCAUUUGUAGCAUUUGCACAGUCCGCCKGCCUCAAUCCCUCGGGAGAAUGGUCUGAGUGUGAGCAUACAUGUUGGGACCCGAAAGAUGGUGAACUAUGCUUGAGUAGGGUGAAGCCAGGGGAAACUUUGGUGAAGGCUCGCAGCGAUUCUGACGUGCAAAUCGAUCGUCAAACUUGAGUAUAGGGGCGAAAGACUAAUCGAACUAUCUAGUAGCU
rnacentral:rRNA from 1 species